CAUUGAAAACACCAGUUCUUGUACGAUCACCGAAGUUAAGCAACGCCGAGCCUGGUCAAUACCUGGACGGGUGACCGCUUGGAAAUACCGGGUACUGUAAG